rnacentral:rRNA from 1 species
UACGGAGGGGGGCUAGCGUUGUUCGGAUUUACUGGGCGUAAAGGGCGCGUAGGCGGUCGUGACAAGUCACUUGUGAAAUCUCCGGGCUUAACUCGGAACGGUCAAGUGAUACUGUCGGACUAGAGUACAGAAGGGGCAACUGGAAUUCUCGGUGUAGCGGUGAAAUGCGUAGAUAUCGAGAGGAACACCUGGCGGCGAAGGCGGGUUGCUGGGCUGAUACUGACGCUGAGGCGCGAAAGCCAGGGGAGCGAACGGG